CGGGACGGGUGAGUAAUGUCUGGGAAACUGCCUGAUGGAGGGGGGUAACUACUGGAAACGGUAGCUAAUACCGCAUAACGUCGCAAGACCAAAGAGGGGGACCUUCGGGCCUCUUGCCAUCGGAUGUGCCCAGAUGGGAUUAGCUAGUAGGUGGGGUAACGGCUCACCUAGGCGACGAUCCCUAGCUGGUCUGAGAGGAUGACCAGCUACACUGGAACUGAGACACGGUCCAG
rnacentral:rRNA from 1 species